rnacentral:rRNA from 1 species
GAUCAUGGCUCAGGACGAACGCUGGCGGCGUGCUUAACACAUGCAAGUCGAACGAGAAUCUGAUGAGGGAGUUUUCGGACAACUGAUUCAGAGGACAGUGGCGGACGGGUGAGUAACGCGUGAGGAACCUGCCUUUCAGAGGGGGGACAACAGUUGGAAACGACUGCUAAUACCGCAUGAAGCGUAUUGAUCGCAUGGUCGAUACGCCAAAGAUUUAUCGCUGAAAGAUGG